GCCAGGUGCAGUGGUAUGUGCCUGUAGUCCCAGCACUUGGGAGGCUGAGGCUGGAGGAUCGCUGGAGUCCAGGAGUUCUGGGCUGUAGUGCCCUAUGCCGGAUGGGGUGUCCGUACUAAGUUUGGCAUCAAUAUGGUGACCUCCCGGGAGCGGGGGACAACCAGGUUGCCUAACGAGGGGUGAACCGGCCCAGGUAGGAAAUGGAGCAGGUCAAAACUCCCGUGCUGAUCAGUAGUGGGAUCGUGCCUGUGAAUAACUACUGCACUCCAGCCUGGGCAACAUAGCAAGACCCCAUCUCU
rnacentral:SRP_RNA from 1 species